rnacentral:rRNA from 1 species
UACGUAGGGUGCGAGCGUUAAUCGGAAUCACUGGGCGUAAAGGGCGCGUAGGCGGCUUGUCAAGUCUGGGGUGAAAUCCCACGGCUCAACCGUGGAACUGCCUUAGAUACUGACGGCCUCGAGGGAGAUAGGGGCGAGCGGAACUGUGAGUGGAGCGGUGAAAUGCGUUGAUAUUCACAGGAACUCCGGUGGCGAAGGCGGCUCGCUGGAUCUUUUCUGACGCUGAGGCGCGAAAGCUAGGGGAGCAAACGGG